GUGCCAGCCGCCGCGGUAAUACGUAGGGUGCGAGCGUUGUCCGGAAUUACUGGGCGUAAAGAGCUCGUAGGCGGUUUGUCGCGUCGAUCGUGAAAACUCGCAGCUCAACUGUGGGCGUGCGGUCGAUACGGGCAGACUUGAGUACUGCAGGGGAGACUGGAAUUCCUGGUGUAGCGGUGAAAUGCGCAGAUAUCAGGAGGAACACCGGUGGCGAAGGCGGGUCUCUGGGCAGUAACUGACGCUGAGGAGCGAAAGCGUGGGUAGCGAACAGGAUUAGAUACCCUGGUAGUCCACGCCGUAAACGGUGGGCGCUAGGUGUGGGUUUCCUUCCACGGGAUCCGUGCCGUAGCUAACGCAUUAAGCGCCCCGCCUGGGGAGUACGGCCGCAAGGCUAAAACUCAAAUGAAUUGACGG
rnacentral:rRNA from 1 species